rnacentral:rRNA from 1 species
GUAGGGAAUAUUGGACAAUGGGGGCAACCCUGAUCCAGCGACGCCGCGUGAGUGAUGAAGGCCUUCGGGUCGUAAAGCUCUGUUGCAGGGGAAGAACACAAUGACGGUACCCUGCUAGAAAGGAUCGGCUAACUUCGUGCCAGCAGCCGCGGUAAGACGAGGGAUCCUAGCGUUGUUCGGAAUUAUUGGGCGUAAAGCGGGUGCAGGUGGCUUGGUCAGUCAGAUGUGAAAGCCUGGGGCUUAACCCCAGAAGUGCAUUUGAUACUGCUGAGCUUGAGUGCUGGAGAGGCUAGUAGAAUUCCUGGUGUAGUGGUGAAAUACGUAGAUAUCAGGAGGAAUACCGGAGGCGAAGGCGGGUAGCUGGCCAGACACUGACACUCAGACCCGAAAGCGUGGGGAUCAAACAGGAUUAGAUACCCGUGUAGUCC